GAUGAACGCUGGCGGCGUGCCUAAUACAUGCAAGUCGAGCGAAUGGAUUAAGAGCUUGCUCUUAUGAAGUUAGCGGCGGACGGGUGAGUAACACGUGGGUAACCUGCCCAUAAGACUGGGAUAACUCCGGGAAACCGGGGCUAAUACCGGAUAACAUUUUGAACCGCAUGGUUCGAAAUUGAAAGGCGGCUUCGGCUGUCACUUAUGGAUGGCCCCGCGUCGCAUUAGCUAGUUGGUGAGGUAACGGCUCACCAAGGCAACGAUGCGUAGCCGACCUGAGAGGGUGAUCGGCCACGCUGGGACUGAGACACGGCCCAGACUCCUACGGGAGGCAGCAGUAGGGAAUCUUCCGCAAUGGACGAAAGUCUGACGGAGCAACGCCGCGUGAGUGAUGAAGGCUUUCGGGUCGUAAAACUCUGUUGUUAGGGAAGAACAAGUGCUAGUUGAAUAAGCUGGCACCUUGACGGUACCUAACCAGAAAGCCACGGCUAACUACGUGCCAGCAGCCGCUGUAA
rnacentral:rRNA from 1 species